rnacentral:rRNA from 1 species
CCCUUAGAUGUCCUGGGCCGCACGCGCGCUACAAUGACACAUGCAACAAGUUCUAUCCUGGCUCGGAAGAGUUUCGGGUAAUCUUUAUAAUGUGUGUCGUGCUGGGGAUCGAUCUUUGUAAUUAUGGAUCUUGAACGAGGAAUUCCUAGUAAGCAUAAGUCAUCAGCUUGUGCUGAUUACGUCCCUGCCCUUUGUACACACCGCCCGUCGCUACUACCGAUUGAAUGGUUUAGUGAGAUCUCUGGAUUGACGCUGGCUAGGGGGCGACCCUUGGCCAGACUGCUCGAGAAACUGCUCAAACUUGAUCAUUUAGAGGAAGUAAAAGUCGUAACA